UGGGGAAUUUUGCGCAAUGGGGGGAAACCCCUGACGCAGCAACGCCGCGUGCGGGACGAAGGCCUUCGGGUUGUAACCGCUUUCAGCAGGGAAGACAUAGACGGUACCUGCAGAAGAAGCUCCGGCUAACUACGUGCC
rnacentral:rRNA from 1 species